AACACAUGCAAGUCGUACGAGAACUCUUUAAGCUUGCUUAGAGAUAGUAAAGUGGCGCGCGGGUGAGUAACGCGUGGGUAAUCUACCCUUGAAUCUGGAAUAACUCGCCGAAAGGUGGCUAAUACCGGAUAAUGUCAUUAUGGCUUCGGUUUAAAUGAUCAAAGGUGGCCUCUUCUUGAAAGCUACCGUUUAAGGAUGAACCCGCGUACCAUUAGCUUGUUGGUGAGGUAACGGCUCACCAAGGCGACGAUGGUUAGCUGGUCUGAGAGGAUGAUCAGCCACACUGGAACUGACACACGGUCCAGACUCCUACGGGAGGCAGCAGUGAGGAAUUUUGCGCAAUGGGGGAAACCCUGACGCAGCAACGCCGCGUGAGUUAUGAAGGCCUUCGGGUCGUAAAGCUCUGUCAAGUGGGAAGAACCUGAAAAAUGAUAAUACCAUUUUUCACUGACGGUACCACUAAAGGAAGCACCGGCUAACUCCGUGCCAGCAGCCGCGGUAAUACGGAGGGUGCUAGCGUUAUUCGGAUUUACUGGGCGUAAAGGGCGCGUAGGCGGUCUUAUAAGUCAGAUGUGAAAGCCCGGGGCUUAACCCCGGAAGUGCAUCUGAAACUAUGAGACUUGAGUAUGGGAGAGGGAAGUGGAAUUCCUGGUGUAGCGGUGAAAUGCGUAGAUAUCAGGAGGGACACCGGUGGCGAAGGCGGAUUCCUGGACCAAUACUGACGCUGAGGCGCGAAAGCGUNGGGGAGCCAACAGGUUAGUA
rnacentral:rRNA from 1 species